rnacentral:lncRNA from 1 species
AAACAUAUUUUGAUAUACAUAUCUUUGUGUUCUUCUAACUCAUGGCAGGAAGAAGGAUUAAUAUUCCAGAUCAACCCUAUGAUGCACAGAACCCAUUUAACAUCGUGAUAACUUUGUCACCAUUUGAUGUAGAUUUGAGUAAUACGAUAAUGAUGCCGAAACCGUUACUAGCUAGAAGCUAACUUAUUUCGUUUCAUGGAGAUGAGUACUUACGUCGGACUGUUACAAGUCCCCGACAAGCCAAGGAUGAUUGAACUUUUUGAUAUUGAUACUAAAAUUACAACAUUUCUUACCAUAAAAGAAGAAGGACAACAUUUCAAAUUCGAUGGGUGGUGCAAUAUUCUCAACCGAAAAAAUUACAGGGCAGGCGAUAGAAUUGUAUUUUGGUGGGAUUUACGCAACAGUAGACUUAUUUCAAACAAGUUGAUUAGUUGAUUAUAAGAACUUCAUUUCCCAAAUAAUUUAUGUAUACCGGAUUUUAUGGUCUUUGAUCGAGUCCGGUUAGGUGUGGUUUUAUUGAAGUUGGUUUAGUUCUUGCUUCUAAAAUAAAUAUAUGUAUGGCUUUGUAAGAUAGUAUAAUAAAUAAUUAAUAAAAGAGUUCAAGAAAAAGUAUAUGUAUGGCUUUAAUUUGCCGUAAGAUAAUAUAUUAAAUAACUAGGAUCGGAUUCGCGCUAGAAUAUUCUCUAAUAUAUCAAUAAAAUUUAUAAUAGAAUUAGAAAUUGAAUAUAUGAAAAUUUUAAAUGAUUGUACUUGUAAAAUAUACACACUAAUAUUAUAUGUCGUGACGGACCAACUCGUAAAAGUGUAUAUGAAAAAAUAUUAAUCAUUACCCCUUCUACUAUAUAAUUGUGAGUUAACGAACUAACCCGUGUAUUAUUAAAAGUAUCAUUGGUAUAUUAAAUGCAUAAUAUUUUCAUUUAAGUAUCCAUCAUGAAUAUAAAUGUAUAUAAAACUAUAAAUAAUAUGAUAAUAAAAAUACAGAAACUAAAUUAGUAAAAAAGUUUGAAAUUUUAAACGGAUCUUUCUUAUUGUUGAGUGUUGAUUUAUUGACACAUCAAACCGAUCUUCCGUCCAAUAUUGUUGAUAAACUCUGAAUAAUUCAUUUUUUAGAAGUUGGUUUUUAAAACAAAAAUAUAAGAGUUUGAUAAAAUUGGUAUUUUUUUAAUGUUCCUGUAAAAUAAGAAAAACAAUAAUAUAAAUGACAUUAGAUUAAAAAAAUUAUUGUAAACACAUUGUUUUUGUUAAAAUCACUUAUAGAUGAUAUUUAAUUAGAUUUCUAAAAAUUAUUCAAAUAACUAACAAUACGGUAUUUUUUUAUUAUUAGUAUAUUUUCUAAGAUUAAGAUCUAUUUAUAUAAAUGCUAUUUCUAAAUUUAAAUUCGUCAUUAUUAUUUCCAAAAAUAUAGUUUUUGACUAACAAUGACAAUAUAGAAUAUACAUGUAACGAUAGAAUUAUUGAUAUUAUUAAAACUAAUAAAAUCGUACAGUUUUAUAAUAUGGUAACAAUAACUUUAUAAUCGCGAAAGAAUAACAAUAUUUACAGGGAUUGUUAACAUAUUAGUAUAUUCUGUAUUGAUUGAGAGGUUAGUCAAUCAUUUGUAAAAAUCAUUUAAUAUGUAUAUGUAAUAUUGUUUACCUUAAGUAGAUUUGUUAACAAUUAAUGAGUAUCCAAAAUUAGCGGGACUGUAAUAUUGCAUUGAAGAGACAAUUUCGAAACCUAUCUCUAAUGUGAUAUACACAUAGCAAAAGUCCGUUUUUAAAUGGGUAAUAUCCAUACAUUAAAUGAAACCCGUUUUCUAAGGAUUCAUUAAAUCUAAUCGGGUCAGAUUUUUUAAAAUUUUGUGAAAUAACCCGAUCCAAGUAUUUUUUGUACUUCUCUUUAUUUACAAUACAUGAUAUAAUAUUUUAGCAAAAAAUUGUUUUUAUUUAGUAACAAAUCUAAAGAGUAAAUACAUUCGUAAGUCAUAUAUAUUUACUAGUAUAGUACCCGUCCGAUGGACGGGUUAUCUUUAUUUAAAAUUAAAUUAAAAUAAAAAUUAAUUAUAACUUAUAAAAAAAUAAUUUCUAAAUUUUUUUUAAAAAUAAGAGAAAUUAAUUUUAAUUCGGAAAGAGGUUUUAUUUGGUUUGAACUAUCAAAUAAACGUGUACAUAUAUAUAUAUCUCUCUUAAAAUUCGUUAUUAAACGUUAAUUAUAAAAAUCUAGUAAUGUCAAACUAACAAUCACCAAAACAUUUGGGAGCUAUUUGAGAGCUAUUCACCAUUACUCAUAAUAUUGCUAAAAUAUUUUAUAAAAUCUUAAUUUAGCAAUUAUCCUCUAAAACAUGAUUAUACCAUUUUGUAAAAAUUGUUAUUUCUUAACUUUCAAUUUUUCAAAAUAUCAUUCUCAGACUAUGAAAAUUAAUUAAUUAUUAUUCAAUAUGAUGGUAAAGUUCUUUCAAAUUAGCAUCAAUCUAAAAUAUGAUGUUAAAUAUAAAUAUAGUCAUUUGUAAAUAAAUUCAUACAAACAACGCAAAUAAAUAUAAAGAUUCUAAAAUAAAUUAUAGCAUUAUUGAGGNNNNNNNNNNNNNNNNNNNNNNNNNNNNNNNNNNNNNNNNNNNNNNNNNNNNNNNNNNNNNNNNNNNNNNNNNNNNNNNNNNNNNNNNNNNNNNNNNNNNUACGAAUUAUAAAAAACUACAUAUUUUCUUUAAAAAUAUUACUAUAUUACGAUUUAUAUUGAACUUUGUUAUCUUUAAUUUAAGCUAAAAAAAAUAUUUUCAAAAAUAUUUUAUUCACCCUUAUGUUUUAGACAAUGAAAUUGCUCAAUGGCAUAAUACAUUCAUACAUAAAUUAAAAAUUAAACAAAUAUAACAUAUUAUAAAAUAAAAUCAUGAAUAAAAUUAUGUAUUUAAUUAAACUCAAAAUCUAAUUUAUUUGUAAACUGUAAAUCCUAAUUCUCCUUUAUGAACCAAAACUGAGAAAUAACCUUGUUUAAUUGUAAAACCUAAAUCUCACUCUUCUUUAGUAAACCCAAACCGAUAAAUAAUCUCGUUUAAUUAUAAAAUCUAAACUAUAAUGCACAUUUAUAAACUCAACAUAUAACCCUUAUAAUUGUAAAACCUACAACUCGCAAAACCAAAAAUUAGGUUAAUAGUUGAAAGAGAAUUUUUGAGAAAUACCCUUUUUGGUGUACCCCUUUUUUAAAAUAGACCAAUUUUCUAUCCAUUUUAAAAAUAUCUCUUUUCAAAUAUGAAAAAUUGUAAACUUUUAUAUAGUUUAUAAGGUACAUCUAGAUCAACAUUACUAUUGGGAGACUCAAUACAAAUAUUUAUAGAGUUUUACAAAGGUUCUAAACGGCAUUUAUAAGUUUUUUUAUAAUGUUUACAAAGUUUUUAUAUGUUUUAAAAUAAUUUUUAAAAGGUUUUUAAAAGGUAUAUAUAUGGUAUUUAAAAUUUACACACAUAGAAAGAUAAUUUGUGUCUAAAUAUAUAAGCUUACACAUUUUUUUUUAUAAAUAUCAAAUUUUUUACUUUUUAAUUUAUAAAAAAUACCUUUUUCCAUACCACUUUUUAAAAAUACCCUUAUUUCAAAAUUUAUUAAAAAAACCACAAUAAAUGUUGAAAUUUAUCCAAAUAUGUGUGUAAACUUAUAAAUAUACACACAAAUUACCUUUAUAUAUGUUUAAAUUUUUAUAUAUCUUUCAUAAAUAGCAUAAAAUAACUUAUAAAUACCUUUUAAAAACCUUUACCUUAUAAACCCUUUUAAAAACCACUUAAAAACCUUUUAAAACUUGUAAAAAUGAUUUAAAAUAUUUUAAAACAUUAUAAAAUAUUUGUAUCAAACUUCCAAGUAGUAGUUCUUAUAUAGAAGUACCUUAUAAACCAUAUAAAACUUUAUAAUUUUUCAUAUUUAAACAUGGAUAUUUUUGAAAAUGGAUAGAUAGAUGAGGUAUUUUUGAGAAAGGGUACACCAAAAGGGGUAUUUCUCAAAAAUUCUCUUUAAUUUUUUAUAAUUAUUUUUUAAUGUUGUUAAAAAUUCUAUUUUUAUCUUAAUAUUAACAAAAUUAGAUAUAAAACGUUGCGACAUCUUAUGUUUUUACUUGACACUUAUCAUGAUCACGUGAGUUAGUAAAUUUAAAAACCAAGUUUCGACAUAUAAUCUCGUUUAAUUGUUAAACUUAAACCAUAAUUUUAAUUUAUAAAGAUAAACCAUAAUUUUUAUUUAUCAUUUAUAUACCCAAACCAACAAAUAACCUGAUUUAAUUGUAAAAUUAAAGUUGAAACCUUAAUCCUCUUAUGUAAACAAAAACCGCCGUAUAUUCUUGUUAAUUAUAAAUUUUAAAUCCCUAUCUUAUUAAUAAACCAAAUUGACAUAACUGAGAUUAGGUUAUUUGUUUAAUUUAUUAAUAAUUUUUAAUAUAUAAUUCUUUAUAAAAUUUAUUUUAUAUAUUUCCUUUUCGAUAGGGUUAAUAAUAUUUCUAUCUUAUCCAAAUAUUAACAAAAUUAGUUACGACACGUGUCAAUAUCUUAUAGUUUAUAAUUGACACGUGUCACGAUCUUGUUAAUGGCUAACUUUGAAAACCAAGGUUUAUAUAAUAAGAUACUAGUCAGUUGCCCACGUUACGCGCGUGAGUUUUAUUAUGUUGUUUAUGAGUAAUUAGUUCGUAUUUUAUUUUCUAUUUAUUUUUUUACUAUACCAUACUUUUAUUUUUUAAUUUUAGAUUGUGUUUGUAUAGAAAACCUGUUGAGUUUUAGCUUCAUUAUUAGUUAACAAAUUAAGUGUAUAUAUUAUAAGUCAAUGUGUGGGUGUAAGCAGAAAUGCGGUAGAGAAUCAUAAAGAAACAUGUGUUAUUAGGGUUCCUACCAAAUAUAAAUCUAGAUGUUAAUAUUGUAAACUUUUUUAAUAUGUUGGCCUUAAAAGUUGAAAAUGAUAUUGGGGGUUUUGGGCGGAUUAUUAUAUUUUUUAUUGGUUACAUUAUCUCUUUAUAUAUUGUCAUAACUGUUUUUUUAUUUUACGUUUUCUUUUUUGGACUGGACGUAAUUUAUACCGCAUUAUGAUUAUUUUUAUACUAUUAUAUAUUCGUUUAUGAUUUUCUAUUUUAUAUAUUUUUGUGUUUUCAUAUGGAAAAUUUUUAAAAUUUAACAUAUUAGUAUAAUUUACUUUAUAUUUAGUUCAUUUAAUUUAAUUAUUCUUUUUAUAUUUUAAUUUUCAAAUUUUUAUGAAAUAUUGUUAAUUUUUGAUUUUUUUAUUAGUUUACCAUAUGUGAUGUAUUGAAAAAAGUUAGUUAAAUUUUUAUUGGAAAAUAUUAUUUUUCUUGUUACCAUUUUUAUAUGUGUUUUUAAAAUAAGAAUUCAUGUUUCGUCCCAACCUAUCUCAUUUAUGUUGGAGAAUUUUGUGAGACAUAAAUUAGAUAGAUUUCUAUUCUCAAAGUUUCUCACUUUUUGUUUUAUUCUCGUUAAAUCUCAUUACAAUUUAGGUUUACAUUGUGUAAAUAUAAUCAAAUUUUAUGUCAUAUUAUUUUUAAUUGAUAUAUAUUCAUUAUAAAGCAGUCACUUGAAAAGUAUAAUCUAUUAUUCAUAUAUUAGUUAUUAUAUAAUCGAUAAUUAGUAAGUUUUUUUAUUUUUAAUCAAUUAUCUUUUUUAGUUUUAUAAUAUAAAAUAUAAGAAAAGACCUUUCAUAUUUCUUUUAGAAGAAACUAUUUAUAUAUGUCUAAAUCUCAAAAUUAAAUGAUAAAAUGGUAUAAUUAAUUCUUAAAAUUAAAUUAUAAAAUGAGAUGAUGAUUAGGAUGAUGAGGUGCCUUAAGGAGAAGAGAGAAAAAUUAACUUUAUAUAUAUAUAGAUAACAGUAUUUUAUAUUGUUUAUUAUUCGCAAGCUCGCAAUUACAUGCACCAAAAUAUUUCAAAUAGAAAUCAAAACUGAUACAAAGGAAAAAAAAAGUUAUAUACAUUCAAAAGAAAUAACGUAAUUAAGUCUUUUAGGUGUACUUUAUUAUGAUUUUUUGUUACAAAAUCAUUAACUUUAACAAUAACAAGUGUUACAAUUUGAUUAAAAAUUACAAAAACCAAAUGUGCAUUUAUUUAUUUAUUUUUUAAGCUCAAUUAAUAGUGAAUCCAAUGAUAAUUAUCAAAUAAAAUUGUAUCUCACUACCAAAAAAAAAUGUAUCUUUUUAUAGCCACAAGCUCUUAAUUACAAUUACUUACCAACACAACUUAUUGUCAAUAUAAAUAUCCUUCACACACACAAACAUGUAUCAAAAUUUAUUAUUUACAAUACAUGAUAUAAUAUUUGAGCAAAAAAUUGUUUUUAUUUAGUAACAAAUCUAAAGAGUAAAUACAUUCGUAAGUCAUAUAUAUUUAUAUAACACUAUCUUAUAUUGUUUAUUAUUCGCAAGCUCGCAAUUACAUGCACCAAAAUAUUUCAAAUAGAAAUAAAAACUGAUACAAAGGGAAAAAAAGUAAUAUACAUUCAAAAGAAAUAACGUAAUUAAGUCUUUUAGGUUAUAUCUGUAAGAAUUUGAUUAACAAUUAAAAAAAAAACCAAAUGUGGAUUUAUUUAUUAAUUUUUUAAGCUCAAUUGAUAGUGAAUCUAAUGAUAAUUAUAAAAGAAAAUAUUGUAUCUCACUACCAAAAAAGAAAUGUAUCUUUUUAUAGUCACAAGCUCUUAAUUACAGUUACUUACCCAACACAUCUAAUUGUCAAUAUAAAUAUCCUUCACACACAAACAAAAUUGUAAUACAAAACCUUACAUAAAUCUUUACAGAGACCAAGUAACAUUGAAAACAUAUUUUCAUAUAUCUUUGUGUUCUUUGUUCUAAAUCAUGGCGGAUUUUCCGGAUCAACCUUAUGCGGUUUACAACCCAUAUAACAUGGUGAUAACUUUGUCACCAUUCGACGUAAAUUCGAGUAAUACGAUAAUGAUGCCAAAACCGUUACUAGAAGCCAACUUAUUUCGUUUCAUGGAUUUAAGUGAUGUCGUCGAACUAUUACAAGUUCAAGACCAGCCAAGGAU